GGGACCGUGGUGUAGGGUUAUCCCGGUUGCCUCUCACACAGUCGGCUUGGGUUCGAUCCCAGACGGUCCCG
rnacentral:tRNA from 2 species